UAAGGAAUAUUGGUCAAUGGACGCAAGUCUGAACCAGCCAUGCCGCGUGAAGGAUGAAGGUCCUCUGGAUUGUAAACUUCUUUUAUCUGGGACGAAAACGGGAUUUUUAUCUCAAUUGACGGUACCAGAGGAAUAAGCACCGGCUAACUCCGUGCCAGCAGCCGCGGUAAUACGGAGGGUGCGAGCGUUAUCCGGAUUUACUGGGUUUAAAGGGUGCGUAGGUGGGCUUAUAAGUCAGUGGUGAAAUCUCCGAGCUUAACUUGGAAACUGCCGUUGAUACUAUAGGUCUUGAAUUAUCUGGAGGUAAGCGGAAUAUGUCAUGUAGCGGUGAAAUGCUUAGAUAUGACACAGAACACCGAUUGCGAAGGCAGCUUGCUGAGCUGUAACCGACGCUGAGGCACGAAAGCGUGGGGAGCAAACA
rnacentral:rRNA from 1 species